rnacentral:rRNA from 1 species
CCUACGGGUGGCAGCAGUGAGGAAUAUUGGUCAAUGGCCGUAAGGCUGAACCAGCCAAGUCGCGUGAAGGAAGAAGGAUCUAUGGUUUGUAAACUUCUUUUAUAUGGGAAUAAAGGUAUCCACGUGUUGAUUUUUGCAUGUACCCUAUGAAUAAGCAUCGGCUAACUCCGUGCCAGCAGCCGCGGUAAUACGGAGGAUGCGAGCGUUAUCCGGAUUUAUUGGGUUUAAAGGGUGCGUAGGUUGUUUUUUAAGUCAGCGGUGAAAGGUUGUGGGUCAACCAUAAAGUAGCCGUUGAAACUGGAAGACUUGAGGGUUGUGGAGGUAGGCGGAAUGCGUGGUGUAGCGGUGAAAUGCAUAGAUAUCACGCAGAACUCCGAUUGCGAAGGCAGCUUACUAGGCGAGAACUGACACUGAAGCACGAAAGCGUGGGGAUCAAACAGGAUUAGAUACCCGUGUAGUC